rnacentral:rRNA from 1 species
CCUUUGACGUUAGCGGCGGACGGGUGAGUAACACGUGGGUAACCUACCUAUAAGACUGGGAUAACUUCGGGAAACCGGAGCUAAUACCGGAUAAUAUUCGAACCGCAUGGUUCGAUAGUGAAAGAUGGUUUUGCUAUCACUUAUAGAUGGACCCGCGCCGUAUUAGCUAGUUGGUAAGGUAACGGCUUACCAAGGCGACGAUACGUAGCCGACCUGAGAGGGUGAUCGGCCACACUGGAACUUAGACACGGUCCAGACUCCUACGGGAUGCAGCAGUC